AUUUCUGUAUGUAUAUGCAUACUUUGUCUCCAUGUGUCCUUCCCUCUUCUGUAUACAUGUAUACAGGAGGAAGGGGGAAGGACACAUGGAGACAAAGUGUGAAGGGACAAUA
ensembl:miRNA